rnacentral:rRNA from 1 species
GAUGAACGCUGGCGGCGUGCCUAACACAUGCAAGUCGAACGAACAGACGAGGAGCUUGCUCCCCUGACGUUGUCGGCGGACGGGUGAGUAACACGUGGUUAACCUACCUAUAAGACUGGGAUAACUACGGGAAACCGGAUCUAAUACCGGAUGAUAUAUUGACCCUCAUGGUUCAAUAGUGAAAGACGGUUUUGCUGUCACUUAUAGAUGAAUCCGCGCCGCAUUAGCUAGUUGGUAAGGUGACGGCUUACCAAGGCUACGAUGCGUAGCCGACCUGAGAGGGUGGUCCGCCACACGGGAACUGAGACACGGUCCAGACUCCGACGGGAGGCCGCAGUAGGGAAUCUUCCGCGAUGGGGGAAAGGCUGAUAGAGCAACACCGCGUGAGUGAUGAAGGUGUUCGGAUCGUAAAGCUCUGUUAGCAGGGAAGAACAAAUGUGUAAGUAACCAUGCACGUAUUGACGGUACCUGAAGAAAAAGCCACGGCUAACUACGUG